GAUGAACGCUGGCGGCGUGCCUAAUACAUGCAAGUCGAGCGAACAGACGGGGAGGUUGCUCCUCGGACGUUAGCGGCGGACGGGAGAUUAACACGUGGAUAACCUACCUAUAAGACUGGGAUAACUUCGGGAAACCGGAGCUAAUACCGGAUAAUAUAUUGAAUCACAUGGUUCUAUAGUGAAAGACGGCUUUGCUGUCCAUUAUAUAUGUAUACGCGCCGCAUUAGCUAGUGGGUAAGGUAACGGCUUACCAAGGGAACGAUGCGUGGCCGACAUGAGAGGGUGGGCGGCCACACUGGAACUGAGACACGGUCCAGGCGCCUACGGGAGGCAGCAGUAGGGAAUCUGGCGCAAUGGGCGAAAGCCUGACGGAGCAACGCCGAGUGAGUGAUGAAGGUCUUCGGAUCGUAAAACGCUGUUAUUAGGGAAGAAAAAAUGUGUAAGUAACGAUGAACGUAUUGACGGUACCUAAACAGAAAGCCACGGCUAACUACGUG
rnacentral:rRNA from 1 species